CGGGGGGCGGGAGCGGGGGCGGGGAGGGCGGUGCGCGAGGUCGGCGCCGGGAACCCCCACCUCGCCCAGCCCCAGCUGGGCGCUCGCCCGCGAAGCCUUGGAGCGGGGGUCUGGGACCUCCUGUUCCAGCGACCUGGGUGCGUACAGAGCCACUGGGGUUCGGAAUCCCCAAACGGAUUAUGCGUAGCGUGCUUCGCUCUAUAGUUACACCGGGUUGACUGCAGAGACGUGGGGUGUAAAAAGAAGUUUGAAGACAUUCAGCAGGGGGAGACGGACAAACGACGAACCUAACCAUCCUGGGAGUUUCACAGAAUGUUUGAAGGUGAUCAAUUCUACAGAAGACUAGAGCAGGGUAAGAGGAUUCCACUCUAAACUGGAUGGUUGGAGUGAGCUGCACUGAAGAGGUAACUUUUGGGCAAAGACUUAAGGGAGAUGAAGGAGGGCAUCAAGUGGAUACCUGAGUGUCUGAGGAAGAGCAGAGGCGUCUGGCUGAAGCUGAGCAUGUGAGAAAGAGUUGUUGGUGAGGAUGCCAGGAGGUCACAGAGGUAAGGGGUGGGGUGGAGGUCACACGAGGCUUAAGAGGCCAUUGUAAGGACUUGUGCCUGGACUCUGGGUGAGGUGAGCAGCUACCUGGCCAGUUUCCAGCAGCUGAGUGGCAUGAUCUGCUUUGGCUGCCAUGUUGAGAAGAGCAGAAAGAAGUAAAGGUAGCAUCAGGGGGUCCAGCUAGAAGGCCAUUGCUGCCACACACGGGAGAGGGCAGGCAACACACACCAGCGUGGUGGUGGGGGCUCAGUGAGAAGUGCUCGGACUCUACAUGUGUUUUGAAGGCAGAGCCCAACAAGCUCUCCUGACAGAUUGGACAUGGGGUGUGGGAGAGAAAGGUGUGAAGGAUGACUCUAAGGUUCCUGGCCAGGGCAACUAGGCUGAAGCUACCACGAACUGAAAUGGGGAAGAUGGCAGGAGGAAGAGGUUUUGGGGGAAACGUUAGCAGUUCUGUUUUCACAUGUUAACUUUUAUUUCCAGUCCCAGCACCGUUUACUGAACAUUCCACUCAUAGGGAUGUGUUACAUCACCACCUUCUUACUAUUCCAAGUCUCCACAUCGAUGCAGGUCUGUUUCUGGGCUCUACUCUGUUCCAAGUAAGUCUUGCUAUAUAGCAGGGCAGGUUCUUCCUUGAUAUUCUCCCCCAAAAUUGUGGCUAUUUUUAAAACCUCCCUUUGAAAUAUGAGUAUUAGAAUUUAGAAUCAGCUUGAGUAUUACAAUGAGCAUGUGCAAUUAGAUAAGAAAAAGAAAUCAGGUAACAGUAAUUUUUGCAGAUGGCAUGACUGUAUCAUUAGAAAACUGAAGAGAGUACACAGAAAAACUGUUAGAAAUAAAAAGAUAAUUCAGUCAAGUAAUGGGUAUAAAAUAUGUAGAAGUUAUUGGGCUACAGACAAACACAAACCACUUAGAGGAGAUAAAAGAAGAGUCCAUUUGUGAUAGAAUACAAAGACAAACAACAAGAAAUGAAAACUUCAAGCCAAGUGACAAAAUAUUACACCUCAACUUCUCACUUGGGAAAUGAAUUAUAAAGUAUGUCCCAGCUUGGCAUGGCAUGGAAAAGAAGACAGGCAAUCAGCUCAUUAUGGAAGUAUUUUAGGCUUCAAACAAUUUUCAUAUUCAGAUCCCUUUUAAUUUUUCUAUCAAAAAUGACUGAAACAAAUGCCACACAGGUCAGCCUGCUAAUAUUUGUCCUGAAUCUCAUCCUUCAGUUACCACUAAACAAAAUUUCAAUACAUCCAGUGUAACCCUGAUUAACAGCUACAUGUAAUGCAAUGGUUCCUAGAGUACCCUAUGAUGCUCACUGGCAGCUGAAAUUCCUACUCAGGUUUGUAAUGUGACUAUGCUUUUGACAUGAGUAAUUUCCUCGUAUUAAAUAAAAGCACCAGAUCUGCUUAUUGAUAGCUUUUCAAAUGUAAGCAUUGGUCUUUCCAUAAACUCUGCUGAGUUUUUAUGUCACAGCAAGGGUUGGUGGCUUUUGCUUUUAAAAGCACACUAAUCCUGCCUUCCUUGCGGCUAACAGCUCAUUAUGAGGCUAUAUAUUCUUUUGUAUCUUUCAACAUUGAUAGUAUACCACCAUAGUGCUGUGAAUACUACAGGUGGCCAGUAAUUGUUUGUAUACCUUCUGGCUCACGCAACUGAAUAACAAUUUAACUUUUAAGUGGUUAAGUACAUUCUCUUAGGUUUAUAUUAUGUACUUUUAAAAGUCCUAUGCGAUUUGAUUUAAUCUAUUUCUGUAUGAAAUAAUGUUCUACAUAAGCAGAUCUUUAAGAAAACCUAAUGUACUUAAUUCAUACUUUUAUUCUUACACUUAUCCCUGUGCAUUAUAAUCAUUGGCUUAUGUUUCUGACCGCCCCUACCAGCUUGGGAGCUACUCACGGGCAGAGACCGCCUCUUCUUAAUCUCGGCAUCCCCCCAGUGCCUGCAUGAGAACACUCAAUAUUUGGUAGAUGAAAACACAAAGUGCCUAGGGAGAUAAAGACGUGUAUAGGAUCCUUCACUUUCAGAAAAUCCACAUAGAAAGGAUAAGUUAUUUCUUUUCUGAAUUCAUGCCAAUAGAUCACAAUAUAGGCCAAUUCCUGUCUCAAAGUAAAAACCCCUACCAGAGAAUGAGCACUCCUCUCCAGGCCAGUUCCAUUUUGCCAAGAUCUAUGAGAAUAAGAGGGAUAAAUAUAUUCUACUAAGUUCUUCUAAUGAUGUACCCUCAAACUUGACCUGUCACAUAAUUAUUAUCAUUGUUACCUUCAUGAAUUCAGAAAUGAACUGCUCCAAAUUCCUUGAAUUUCAAGAAUUUCUCCAAGUACAAAUGGGUGAGAAGAGAUUACAGGACUUCUACAAAAACUACCCGUACUUUCUCAUUGCCAGUAUUUUAAAAACAAGUCAUGACAAAUAUGGAAAAGGUUUAUUUUAUAGGACAAACACAGUGCUCAUCUAUAAAAUAUUUUUUAAUAAGGAACACCUCUCUUGUAAAAGCAGUUAGAAUUCUGUAAGGAUUAUUAUUUAUUCUUUACUUGAUAUUCCAAAAUGCUAGAACUACUGUUAAAUAAACUCCCCCCAUUUGCUUCUCAAAUUCCAAACUAAACAAGUGAAUGUUCUCAAGCCCUGGAAUCUGUCACUUUCCAAAAGAAUACACAUUUCAACCAUUACCAAAUUGCAAAAGCCUUUCACGUGAGUAGCACAGACCUUGAAAUGAGGGUGCCAGCUUGAAAUGGGCACUUCUCCAGUGAGGAGGCAGGGCACAGACUGGCGUGUAGCCAACUGCCUGAGAGGAAUGAACAAUCUGAGAGAGAGGCCACAGCUAUGGGACCCUGCUGUGGACAGCCUAUUUCUGGCAUUAAAGCUGGUGCUUAUGCAAGACUGAACUGUGAGAACAGGUAGUCGACCACCCACACUGCAGGAAAAUGUGCAAACCUUUACAAAGAACCAUCACAAAUACUGAAUAUUUAUAAUGCUUAGAAUAAAUCAACAAACUGAAGCACUGCUGAGCCUUUACGAACAGGCUGUUUUUCCUUCUGGUUUUGGAUGGAGCGGAGGUGGGAGAAUGGAAAGCCCAAGUGUGUCUUUAACAAAAUGUAGAGUCUUUCACUUCAAAACUCAUUGUUUCCAUUUUUGUUUGAUAAAUGGCCAACUGAAUUUACUACCAUUGACAGAGUAAUUAUCUUUAUUUUAGAAGUAAAUACACUCAGUGAAAAGCAAUCUGAUGUUAGCUGACCUAGUGCAUACACCUGAAUGAGAGUAGCAAACAUUUUCGUAACAGGAUCAUCUAAGUCUAGUCAAUGUAAAGAAUGUUCUAACAAUGUCUGUAUAAUGAACAACUACUUCAAGUGAUAAAAGGAAAUCUCUGGCUAUGAAAACUCAAAUUUUCUAGAGCUUUAAAUCAGCUUGCAUUAUAGUAAACAAUUAUAUCACAUUGGCAGAAGAAUUGUAGCUUAACAUCAAAACACAUGGUUUAGUAAUUUAAAAAAAUUUAAAUUAAGGUUGAGUUUAACAAUAAGUGUGUUUUUAGAGUCUGAUCUUUUUCUUCAUGCUGUUAAAAAAAUCCUUACCAAAUAAUAUUAUCUAAGGCAAGCAGUUGACAUUGCUAUCUUUUAACAGUGCUACUUCACUUACUUGUUGCUUGAUCCUGGGAUUCCAUCUAAUGUAGUAAUUCACCCAGAGUUCCAAGUGACGCAUACUGGCAACUGGAUAUAAAACUCGAUUGAUUUCUUUAGUAUAGAAGGGGUUUUUGAAUUUUUCUUUAUUACUGUUUAUCAGUGACCAUAAAGAAACAGUUCUUUCUGUAACUUUCUACAGAGAGAGAGAGAGAGAGAGAGAGAGAGAGAGAGAGAGAGAGAAAGUGGAAAGCCUAAGUAAAAACACACAUAAAUCCACAAGCCAUUUUGCAGCCUGUAGCAAUACAGCGCAGCAUCAAAUUGAAUCAUACAUUUACAUUAUCCUCAUAAUAGCUCAAAAAGCCUCACAGGCCAGUGAGUGCUUGGCAGCCACUUAUCGAUAUUUGCAUAGGUAAUGGCCUAGCUUGAGAGCCACUAUUUCUGCCUGAAGACAGGGGUGCAGGAUACUGUACCAUUAAAUGCAAUUCACUGACCUAAGAAGAGUAUUCCUGGCUAGGUAAAACAUUUAUGAACAGAUAGGUAGUAUACUCUUCUUAAUUCAGU